UAAGAAUUUAAAAGUCGAACAGACUUAUUAUCAAGAAUACUGCAUCUUAAAAUUUUCUUAAUUCAACAUCGAGGUCGCAAAAUACAAUAUAGAUAUGAACUCCCCAUUUAAAUUACGCUGUUAUCCCUAAGGUAACUUAAUCUUACUAUCCUCCAAGGGGAUCUAAAAUUACAUAAACAAAUGAAAAUUAUGACUAAAGUUAAUUAUUUAAUUGCCACCCCAGCAAAAUAUAAAAUAAACAUUAAAAAAUAUAUUAAUAAAAAUUAAUAACAUAAAAUCUAUAUAAAGUUCUAUAGGGUCUUAUCGUCCCAAUAAGCCAUUAAAGCAUUUUAACUUUAAAUUUAAAUUUUAAUACUCAAAGAAAUAAAAUAUAAUUCUCAUACACCCAUUCAUACAAGCUUUCAAUUAAAAAACUAAUUACUAUGCUACCUUUGCACAGUCAAAAUACUGCAGCCAUUUAGAAAUCUAAACCAUAGGGCAGAAGAUACUUUUAAUAAAAACA
rnacentral:rRNA from 1 species